CCCUUAGAUGUCCGGGGCUGCACGCGCGCUACACUGUAGAAAGCAGCGUGCUCUAAAACCUUUCCUGAAAAGGAUGGGUAACCCCAGCAAAAUUCUACGUGCUUGGGAUAGAGAUUUGCAAUUUUCUCUCUUGAACGAGGAAUUCCCAGUAAGUGCGAGUCAUCAGCUCGCGUUGAUUACGUCCCUGCCCUUUGUACACACCGCCCGUCGCUACUACCGAUUGGGAAAAUUUUAGAGAGUCCUGGACUGAUGAUUGUUCGGCUUCACGGCCUUACUUUCGUCGGGAAAGAAUUCGAUAAUAUUUUUCUAGAGGAAGUAAAAGUCGUAACA
rnacentral:rRNA from 1 species